UAGGGAAUCUUCCGCAAUGGGCGAAAGCCUGACGGAGCAACGCCACGUGAGUGAUGAAGGUCUUCGGAUCGUAAAACUCUGUUAUUAGGGAAGAACAUAUGUGUAAGUAACUGUGCACAUCUUGACGGUACCUAAUCAGAAAGCCACGGCUAACUACGUGCCAGCAGCCGCGGUAAUACGUAGGUGGCAAGCGUUAUCCGGAAUUAUUGGGCGUAAAGCGCGCGUAGGCGGUUUUUUAAGUCUGAUGUGAAAGCCCACGGCUCAACCGUGGAGGGUCAUUGGAAACUGGAAAACUUGAGUGCAGAAGAGGAAAGUGGAAUUCCAUGUGUAGCGGUGAAAUGCGCAGAGAUAUGGAGGAACACCAGUGGCGAAGGCGACUUUCUGGUCUGUAACUGACGCUGAUGUGCGAAAGCGUGGGGAUCAAACAGGAUUAGAUACCCUGGUAGUCCACGCCGUAAACGAUGAGUGCUAAGUGUUAGGGGGUUUCCGCCCCUUAGUGCUGCAGCUAACGCAUUAAGCACUCCGCCUGGGGAGUACGACCGCAAGGUUG
rnacentral:rRNA from 1 species